CUACGUGCCAGCAGCCGCGGUAAUACGGAAGGUCCAGGCGUUAUCCGGAUUUAUUGGGUUUAAAGGGAGCGUAGGCCGUGGAUUAAGCGUGUUGUGAAAUGUAGACGCUCAACGUCUGAAUUGCAGCGCGAACUGGUUCACUUGAGUAUGCACAACGUAGGCGGAAUUCGUCGUGUAGCGGUGAAAUGCUUAGAUAUGACGAAGAACUCCGAUUGCGAAGGCAGCUUACGGGAGCACAACUGACGCUGAAGCUCGAAGGUGCGGGUAUCAAACAGGAUUAGAUACCCUGGUAGUCCGCACAGUAAACGAUGGAUGCCCGUUGUUAGUUCACUUUCGAAUUAGCGACCAAGCGAAAGCAUUAAGCAUCCCACCUGGGGAGUACGCCGGCAACGGUGAAACUCAAAGGAAUUGACGGGGGCCCGCACAAGCGGAGGAACAUGUGGUUUAAUUCGAUGAUACGCGAGGAACCUUACCCGGGCUUGAA
rnacentral:rRNA from 1 species